rnacentral:rRNA from 1 species
UACGUAGGGACCGAGCGUUGUCCGGAUUCAUUGGGCGUAAAGAGCUCGUAGGCGGCCACUCAAGUCGAAUGUGAAACCUCGAGGCUUAACCUCGAGCCUGCAUUCGAUACUGGGCGGCUAGAGUCUGGUAGGGGGAUCUGGAAUUCCUGGUGUAGCGGUGGAAUGCGCAGAUAUCAGGAAGAACACCAAUGGCGAAGGCAGCUCUCUGGGACGGUACUGACGCUGAGACGCGAAAGCGUGGGGAGCGAACAGG